GUAGAGCACUUGACUUUUAAUCAAGUUGUCCCGGGUUCGAGUCCCGGGUGUCUCAUCA
rnacentral:tRNA from 1 species